CGCCUUCAACGCGCACCACGCCCGAGGUCUGCCACCGCCAGCCCUCCUUUCACCAAAACGGCAAGUUGACCUUAUCAUGUACCUGCAAACAGAAGCAGCAUAAAGAAGGGCAGAAACAAAAAAGGAGGAUGGAUUUUCGGCUUUAUAAGCCUGGAAAAGCAAUGUAAAAAAGGGGGAUUUUCUUCUUUUUUUUUCUUUUUUCUUUCGGAUAAAGUCGAAUAUGCUGUAAAGAAGAAGAGACUCUUCUUCUUUUUUUGUUUAUUAUGAACAUUAAUAUAUAUAAUAAAAAAAAGAACAGAUUUGAGAGGUGAUUUCUUUUGUUUUCUGUUUCGACUCUUGUUUUUAUCCUUUUAUUUUAUUUUAUUUUAUUUCAUUUUACACAUUAAGUAAUAAUAAAAAAGGGAAGAGGAAUGGAACUCACCGGAAGUGGCCAUGGUAGCGCCGUCGGAGAGUCUCUCCUCCGUCACCCGAAUCGGGCCCAAGCGGCCGAAAACCUCCCUUGUUUUCGACUCUCACGGGUUGAGGGAGCUUUGGCUCUCAAGGAUGCCGUGAAGCGGGGGCUAAAGGGCCCAUUUUCCAGUGCCAACACCGCGACGGAGGCCUCGGGAGACCGUCGGCCAUUUGAGGGAUGGGGGGCUUUUUUUUACGGCUGUAAAUGAAAUUAGGGUUUUUUUUAAGCUUUUAAAGCCUCUUUAAACGGUGUCGUAUGGGCUUGGGGUUCAGAGACCAAAAACGGCGUCGUUUUGGUCUCUGACCCAUGAGGUGACUUGACUCGACCGUGAGGAUCCGCAUGUUUUGUCGCUAUGGACUAUUUUCAACUUUGGUCCCUCCAGUUUUGUGCAUAUUGUAAUUCGUUUUUUAUUUGUUAAGUCGCGCCCCGUACUUUUAUGAUUGCUUCACUUUAGUCCUUACUGAUGUAAUCCCUUUUGCAUUUUUUAUUUUAUUAUUAAUCAUAUAUUUUUAUUAUAUUUAUUUAUAUUCUUAUUCAUUAUUAUAUAUAUGUAUACAUUAUUUUAAUAUGUACUAUUAUUUUAAGUUAUUAUUAUAUAUUAGUAUUUAAGCUCAUUAUGUAUUAUGUAUUAUUAUAUUGUUAUUAUUAUUAUUAUUAUUUUGUUUUAAAAUUAUUAUUAUUAUUAUUAUCAGUAUUAUAAAUUUAUUAUGUAUUAUUAUAUUAAGUUUCUUCUUAUAUUAAUAUUUAAUUUCACCAUACAUCAUCUUAUAUAUUUUCUAUGUAAAUCUAAUAUAAUACACAUAUAUAUAUUUUAUAAUUCAUACAUACAUACAUACAUACAUACAUACAUCUUAUAUAUAUAUUAUAACUUAAAACUAUAUAUACAUAUGUAUAUUAUUUUUAUAUUUUAUAGUAUACGUAUACAUACAUUUUAGUUCUUAUAAGUAUGUCUUAUUUCAUUUUUAUAUACACUCAUUUUAUACAUAUACAUGUAUAUUUAUCUUUUUACAUACACAUUUACAGGUCUAUAUAUAUUUACUUUUAUCUUCAUAAAUAUGCAUAUACAAAUUCACAUAUACUCAUAUUUUUAUAAUAUACAAUUUACAUACAUACCUAUACGUAUUUUUUAUAUACAUGCUUAUAUACAUCUCUGAUUGUAUCUUAUAAUAUAUACACUUUCAUAUAUACAUGUAUUUCAUAAUUUCUAUAUAUAUAUAUAUACACACACUUAUUUUAAUUCAUACACAUAUACGCACACACUUGCACAUUUUUUAUAAUUUCAAAUACAUACGUAUACAUAUUUUUUUUUAUAUAUUCCUUUUUGUUUCUUCUAUAAUUUCGUUGUUUCACGCGAUAGUUGCUUUCUAUUUCAUGCUCGUUUUAUUUGGAAUGAAUGCUUAUUUGCUUAUUACCUUGUAUAAUUAAUUUGACUUUUAUUUAUCUUUUAUUUGCUGUUGCUCGUAUUAUUUUUAUUUGCAUAUCCUACUUGUUAUUCUGUCAUAUAUAAUUUUUACUCGAAUUCAUAAAAAUAGAAAACUUUGAAAAUAAAGGCAAUACUCAUAUUUAGAAUCUUCGAGAGGAUUGAGCCCUAACGUAUUGGUUCCAAUUUCUUUCGUUGAAUCUAAGUAGUCGAGAAUGCUCUUUAAUUUAAACAUGAAUGAAAAGCUUAUCAUCGGGAAUUCAAUACGUCGUAUUCAAAUGCAUUAGAUAUGACACAUUGUUUUCUCGAGAUGAGGAUUUUCCAAGAAAUAAUAAAAGUAAUAUUCAACGUUCAGAGUUUUGAGAAAUUAUGCCCUAACGUAUUGGGGUGCAAUUUCUUCAUAUGACUUAAACAAUUGAAUAUCCUUUUAAGUUUUAUUGCACGAGUUUUUUUGACAAGCUCAUUUUGUGGGAGUGAAGUAUCACAUCCUAACUCAUUAGGUGUGACAUUUCCUCUUUCCAAAAUGAGAGGGUCUUAAGGGGUAAUUCGAUUUAUAUAAGUUUUUAAAACAAAGAAUCGUAUUUUAAAUCUCUUCAAAAUUUUCAAUUUUCGACAUUAAGACAUUAACUAAUCAACUAGGUACCAAUUUUUUGGGCGUUACGAGGGUGCUAAUUCUUCCUCGUUCGUAACCGACUUCUGAACUCGUUUUUUAAUUUCGUGGACCAAAAUCGUUAUUUUAAUAAAAUCAAAUCGUUUAUUAAAAACAACCACUUUUUGAGGUGAUCCAAUCCCACCUCAUUAAAAAGAAUUGGUGGCGACUUCCGUUUUCGUUUUCGUUUUCAAAACCCAAGUUGACCCCGUUUUAUCAAAAAAUGGUGUCAACACUAUUGUUUUUUUAACAACUUCAUAGAAAAUAAAAGCAAAUCGCAUAGAGGAAGUAGCAAAAGAAAGAAAGAAAUUAACCUGGAAGUAUAUUACAUUAAUAAUUAAUGUGUAGUAUUUAUAACAGUGUAUUAAAAUAGUAUAUUUAUAACAGUAUAUUAAAAUAUUAUAUUAACACAGUAUAUUUAUAACAGCAUACUAAAACAAUAUAUUAAAAUAAUAUAUUUAUAACAGUAUAUUAAAACAGUAUAUUUAUAACAGUAUAUUAAAACAGUAUAUUAAAACAAUAUAUUACAAAUUUUAUAAUAGUAUAUUAAAACAGUAUAUUACAUUAAAAUUAAUGUUUUAAUCAAAAAAUUAACAAUAUUAAUUAUUUAGUUAAUAACAUUAUAAAAAUAUAAGCACCAAUUUAUGUUAAAAAAUAAAGUAUAGAAACUAAAAUUUAAUCAUUUUGGUAAAAGGAUAUAAAGAUUAAAGUUUAGUUGUAAUUGCAUAAUAGAGGGAUAAAAUGAUAUUAGACCAUUUUCAUAUAAAAAUAAAUGCAUAUUACAUAAUAGUAUAAUACCGAACUCAUAUAUUGCACGAGAUAAUAAACUAGUUAUUUAACUAUGCUAGCCUUGUGAUACAAGAUCAAACUUGUCACAUGUCUAUAAGUAAUACUAAAAAAACACACAUCAUUUAAGAAAAGUCGCAAAGGUUGAUUGUUUCGAAGGAAAGGGUGUGAGAUAGUUAUAGCAACCUGUCUGGGCCUGCUGUUUUUUCUGCCUCACUAAAUAGUUUGUUUCUGCAAUAAAACAAAGCAAACACAAAAAAAAAAAAGAGAGAGAGAUUAAAUGAAGAAACUAAGCUUGUAAUCUCAACCUUGCAAAUUACAUGCUCUAUAAAACAUAAAUCAAUUCUCAACCCUGCAAAUUACAUGCUCUAUAAAAUAUAAACACAAAUAAAUGUUGUGUGGGUCGGAAUUUGUUAUUGGAGCAUUUAUUACAUUCAACUUGGAAGUCAAGGUCUCAAAAGAAACUGGUGUUUUUUCUCAUACUUGACAAAAUCAAACUGUAUUAUAAUUUUUUGUCAUGUCAUCAGUCCAAUCUUUUAAGCUUUAAAGCACGUAGAAGAAGGUCAUAAUCAUAAUUUGACCUAAAACAAUUUUUGUUUAAUAUAAUAAUUUGGUAUUUGAUUUAAUAAAAAGAUUGUUUUUAAUUAAAAUUGAUUCAAAUAAUUCUGUUUUUUAUCCAAACCAAAACUUAAUUCAAUGACAAUGAAAUAUACUAUUCAUAUUGGUAAUUUAAUGGUAUAGAUUUUACUUUUUAAGUAAAUAAAAAUGUUGCAAAGAAUAAAAAUGUUGCAAAGAAUACUAUACUAGUAGAAGGCGUAGGUUAUGACUUGAUCCAAUAGAGUCAAAACACCUUUCUAUCUAAAAGGAAUGGUGCUCGAUGAAACAAUCCAGAUUCCACACUGUGCUGUGGGCUGGGAAGGGAGCUGCUCUGUGAAAUUGGGCAUUCAAUGUUCUUACGGGGGAACCAUACUAGAAAGAGAAUAGAAAGAGCCUUCAAAAAAAAGCGAAUGAGUGAUGGGCAACCUUAGUCUAUAUGUCGCUUGUGAGCCGCCAAGUACCAGUCUCGCAACAGUACUGGCGUUAAAGGAUUGGUCCUUCACUUGCUGAUCGUUCGCGAGUCGAACUCGCUCUCUUGCCACGCCUUUCACUCACUUGCUUUAGUCGGACUCAAUCACUCUUUUUGUUGCAAAGAAUAAUAUGUAAACACAAUCAAAAUCCCCCCCGAAGGUUCAGUGUCUCAAAAUCAAAAUCAGAAAAUUGUUAACAUCAAGAAUCAAAAUCACAAUCAAAAUCAAAAAGCAAAAAGCAAGAAACUACUUCAAAUUGGGUUAACAAGAAAUAGGGUUAACAGCAAACUCACCUUUGAAAUUCAAAGGUAGAAGACAUAGAAGGCUAGAAGCACCCGCACCGUUAGAGCGGAGGUGGAGUCGUGGAGGACUGAACACCGGAGGUGGAAUGGUGGAUCGGUGGAGGUGGGUUUUCGAUUUGGGGGAAAAAAAGGGAGGAGGGAAUGGGUUAGAGAUUUAUUAGAUGCACGGGGUCGGGGAAAUGGGAAAUGGGAAAUGAGAAAUGUAAAUAAUAAAUUUUUAAAAAAAAUAUAUAUAUAUUAA
rnacentral:lncRNA from 1 species